CUGGUCUGAUCUGGGUGAUUUUUGGAUAUGUUGUUCACCCAGAUCAGGGGUAUCCGGGGAUGUAGGAUUUAAAGAGGUACCCCUACAUUUAGGGGUACAUCCAGAAACGGGGGGAAUUGGUGUGCUGGAUAAGGGGAUUAUGAUGCUGGCUGAGGGGAGGAGAUGUGUGGGAGGUUACCAGGACAGGAUUGGCUACUGUAAUAAUUACUGUAAAUCCCUCCC
rnacentral:lncRNA from 1 species